rnacentral:rRNA from 1 species
GAUGAACGCUGGCGGCGUGCCUAAUACAUGCAAGUCGAGCGAACAGACGAGGAGCUUGCUCCUCUGACGUUAGCGGCGGACGGGUGAGUAACACGUGGAUAACCUACCUAUAAGACUGGGAUAACUUCGGGAAACCGGAGCUAAUACCGGAUAAUAUAUUGAACCGCAUGGUUCAAUAGUGAAAGACGGUUUUGCUGUCACUUAUAGAUGGAUCCGCGCCGCAUUAGCUAGUUGGUAAGGUAACGGCUUACCAAGGCGACGAUGCGUAGCCGACCUGAGAGGGUGAUCGGCCACACUGGAACUGAGACACGGUCCAGACUCCUACGGGAGGCAGCAGAAGGGAAUCUUCCGCAAAGGGCGAAAGCUUGACGGAGCAACGCCGCGUGAGUGAUGAAGGUCUUCGGAUCGUAAAACUCUGUUAUUAGGGAAGAACAAAUGUGUAAGUAAAUAUGCACGUCUUGACGGUACCUAAUCAGAAAGCCACGGCUAACUACGUG